AGAGUUUGAUCAUGGCUCAGAGCGAACGCUGGCGGCAUGCCUAACACAUGCAAGUCGCACGGGUCGGGGGUAACUCCGGUCAGUGGCGGACGGGUGAGUAACGCGUGGGAAUCUGUCUCCGGGUGGGGGAUAACGAUGGGAAACUAUCGCUAAUACCGCAUGAAGCCUGAGGGCCAAAGGCGCAAGCCGCCUGGAGAGGAGCCCGCGUUCGAUUAGCUUGUUGGCGGGGUAACGGCCCACCAAGACGACGAUCGAUAGCUGGUCUGAGAGGAUGAUCAGCCACACUGGGACUGAGACACGGCCCAGACUCCUACGGGAGGCAGCAGUGGGGAAUAUUGGACAAUGGGCGCAAGCCUGAUCCAGCAAUGCCGCGUGAGUGAAGAAGGUCUUCGGAUUGUAAAGCUCUUUCGGCGGGGACGAUGAUGACGGUACCCGCAGAAGAAGCCCCGGCUAACUUCGUGCCAGCAGCCGCGGUAAUACGAAGGGGGCUAGCGUUGCUCGGAAUGACUGGGCGUAAAGGGCGCGUAGGCGGUGGACACGGUCAGGCGUGAAAUUCCCGGGCUCAACCUGGGGGCUGCGCUUGAUACAUGUUCGCUGGAGUUCGGAAGAGGGUCGUGGAAUUCCCAGUGUAGAGGUGAAAUUCGUAGAUAUUGGGAAGAACACCGGUGGCGAAGGCGGCGACCUGGUCCGAUACUGACGCUGAGGCGCGAAAGCGUGGGGAGCAAACAGGAUUAGAUACCCUGGUAGUCCACGCCGUAAACGAUGUGCGCUGGAUGUUGGGCGGUCUGACCGUUCAGUGUCGUAGCCAACGCGAUAAGCGCACCGCCUGGGGAGUACGGCCGCAAGGUUGAAACUCAAAG
rnacentral:rRNA from 1 species